GGUCGAUUAGCUCAGUCGGUAGAGCGCCAGUCUGAUAAGCUGGAGGUCGUGGGUUCGAGCCCCACAUCGACCA
rnacentral:tRNA from 1 species